UAAGCGGAAGCCGAAAAGCUUAGAGAGAGUAGGUG
rfam:Bacteroidetes bacterium RIFOXYA12_FTLL_38_20 rifixya3_full_scaffold_13, whole genome shotgun sequence.